GACGAACGCUGGCGGCGUGCCUAACACAUGCAAGUCGAGCGGUAAGGCCCUUUCGGGGGUACACGAGCGGCGAACGGGUGAGUAACACGUGGGUGACCUGCCCUUAGCUCUGGGAUAAGCCUGGGAAACUGGGUCUAAUACCGGAUAUGACUCCAUGACGCAUGUUGUGGGGUGGAAAGCCUUGUGCGGCUAGGGAUGGGCCUGCGGCCUAUCAGCUUGUUGGUGGGGUGAUGGCCUACCAAGGCGACGACGGGUAGCCGGCCUGAGAGGGCGACCGGCCACACUGGGACUGAGACACGGCCCAGACUCCUACGGGAGGCAGCAGUGGGGAAUCUUGCGCAAUGGGCGAAAGCCUGACGCAGCGACGCCGCGUGGGGAUGACGGCCUCGG
rnacentral:rRNA from 1 species